rnacentral:lncRNA from 1 species
CAAACACUAAAAGAUAAUAAAAGAGAAGAGAUGGGCCAUCUGGAGGAACCAAAUACUGGAAGGUGCAGACAAACUGCAGAGUGAGGAGAGAAACUCCAGGAGGCUGAGACAGGAGAAUCCCUUGAACCCAGAAGGUGGAGGUUGCAGUGAGCCUAGAUUGUGCCACUGCCACUGCAUUCCAGCCUGGGCGACAGAGCAAGACUCUGUCUCAAAAAGAAGGAAAAGAAAAGAGACUGGCAGGGUGCAGUGGCUCAUGCCUAUAAUACCAGCAUUUUGGGAGGCUGAGACAGGAGGAUCGUUUGAGCCUCGGAGUUUGAGACCAGCCUGGGCAACAUAAUGAAACCCCAUAUCUACAAAAAAUACAAAAAAUUAGCCAGGCAUGGUGAUGCACACCUGUAGUCCCAGCUACUUGGGAGGAAGAGGUGGGAGGAUCGCUGGAUCCUAGGAAGGUGAGGAUGCAGUGAACCAUGAUUGGGGCACUGCAAUCCAGCCUGGGC